ACAUUAGCGCAGGAAGUAAGCUCCCCUUUGGACAAUGGGGCAAUAGAACAUGUACCCCGUUCACUCAGGGAGGGAGGUUUACAGCCUUUAUUUCCUGUUCCGCAAAAAAGUGAGAGUAUGCGGCCAAUUUUAGAUCUGCGUCAUCUGAACUGUACUCUUCGGACAUACAGGUUCAGAGGCUGACGCUCAAACUUAUCGUGCCACAGAUCCAGUUUGAGAACUGGUUUGUGGAGAUAGAUCUAAAAGGUGCAUAUUUCCACAUAGGAAUAUCGCUAGCUUUAUCCCCUCACACCUUCACAAAGUGCAUGGAUGUCACUCUGGCUCCUUUGGGACUCCAGUUCAUCUGUGUACCAAACUACCUGGACGACUGGUUAAUUCUAGCACGAUCCAGGGAGCUGGUGGUUCAACAUCGAGAUGUUGUUCUCGCCCACAUGAAGAGCUUGGGGCUCAGGUUGAAUCUCAGAAAAGUAUGCUUUCCCUGGUGCAGUGGACAACUAUUCUAGGGGUUAUAGGAUUCUAGUACGACGAGGGCAUUUCUAUCCCCAACAGGCGUAGUGUCAAUCCUAACAACACUGAGCAAGAUAAAGCUGGAUCUUGGGAGACUCUUGGGGUGGAGUCCACACAUGUGGCUGAGGUCACAGCUGUAUGCUGCUCCCCCCAUUGCUCUGCUCCCACAAGCUCUAGCGAGAGUUCGCCAAGACAGUCUGCUAGUAACACCCUUUUGGCAACUUGAACAUGGCUCUGAGGGAUAAUAUCCCUACGAGAUGGCAAUCCUUGGGAGAUUCCCAUCUGCAGGGAUUCACUGUAGACCCAGUGAACUGCGCAAUAGCUACAGUCCUGGAGCUCCUACAAGAACAUUUCUCAGCAGGGUCGGCUCCUUCUACAAUCAGUGUUAUGUGGCCGCCAUUUCGGCCAGCCACGCCCCUGUUGAGGGAGCCUCUGUGGGGCAACAUCCUCUAACUUCGAGGUCCAUGCGUGGUGUCAGACGGCUGAGACCCAUCUGCAGGCCGCACAUACCUUCCAGGGACCUUCUGUGGUCCUGGAAGGUCUGUCGGGUGCCCCAUUCGAGCCACUAGAGUGGAACUACUGUCUCAAGCCGGAGGGGUCACUGUCUGGCCCCUGAGGGGUACCAGCUCAUAGAUUCUGGUCUCACAACUGAGAUUGUAGAAAUCAUUUUAAACGCUAGAGUACCAUCCACAAGGAAAUUGUAUGCGCUCAAGUGGUGCCUUUUUGUCUGGUGGUGUGAGGAAUGUCAGCUAGACCCAGUGAACUGCGCAAUAGCUACAGUCCUGGAGUUCUUACAAGAACGUUUUUCAGCAGGUUGGCUCUUUCUACAAUCGGGGUUACGUGGCCACUGUUUUGGCCAGCCAUGCCCCUGUUGAUGGAGCCUGUGUGGGGCAACAUUCUCUAACUUCGAGGUUCAUGCGUGGUGUCAGACGGCUGAGGCUCAUCUGCAGGCCAUGCAUACCUUCCUGGGACCUUGCUGUGGUCUUGGAAGGUCUGUCAGAAGCCCCAUUUGAGCCAUUAGAGUCAGCCUCUGAGAAGCUUCUGACUCUAAAGUUAGCUCUUUUACUGGCCCUGACAUCUCUCAAGCGAGUGGAAGGUCUACAAGCUCUCUCUGUUGCCCCUCCCUGCCUUGACUUUACCCCUGGAUAAACCAAGUCCUUCCUGUAUUCUAGGCCGGAUUAUAUUCCUAAAGUGCCUACAUCGGCUACCCACCCUGUGGUGUUGCAGGCUUUCUGCCCUCAUCUGUUCCUCACACUGGAACAAGAGAGGAUGCACCUGCCGUGUCCAGUAAGGGCUCUCUUUACUUACGUCCACCGUUCUGGCCAGUGGUGUAAGUUGGAGAAGCUACUAGUCUGCUUUGGCAGCGACAGGAAAAGUGAUGCUGUGUCAAAGCAGAGAAUCUCUACUUGGAUAGUGGAAUCAAUCUCUAUCGCUUACGACACGUGGUCUCGUCAUGCCUCUGGGCAUAAGAGCUCAUUCCACUAGGGCGGUUGCCUCCUCGAAGGCUUUGUCCAAAGGGGUAUCCUUACAGGAUGUGUUUGCGGCUGCAGGGUGGUCUACGCCUCACACAGUCAUUCGUUAUUACAGCCCGGAUAUUCAUUCCACCCCGGGCUCGAGUGUUUUGCCGUGACCCUCGGGCUUGGGUAUUUUUGAACAGGCCGUACCCUCGGUAUGACUGAGUGGGUAUUCCCGUUCCCAUACUGUUAUGCUAAAUGCAACGUCGAAGUUCCCUUUGAAAGGGAACGGCGGGGUUACGCAUGUAACCCUGUUCCCUGAGAAGGGAACAAAACAUUGCAUAGCACUGUCAUACCGGGCCUGUGAAUUGCGUCUUCGCCUCAGAUAAUAGAGGCUGGCGGCGUGGUUCACAGGUGCCAUAUAUAUAUAUAUAUCAUGUGACGCGUUUAAUUGCCACGUCACCUGAUCAUGGCAGGCCAAUUAGUAGAGGCAUGAUUUUAGACAAGCUUCAGAUACCAGUCAAGCGCACAAGGCGUUCCCAUACUGUUAUGCUAAAUGCAACGUCUCGUUCCCUUCUCAGGGAACAGGGUUACAUGCGUAACCCUGAAGUUUUGUUUUUAAACCGUGAACUGACAUGGACAUGCUAUUUCUUGGAUAUACAGACAUACAGAUAAAAGAUUCAUUUUAAAGAAGGAAAUCAACUUAAAGAUGCUGAAAUAUUUUGUAAACACAGUAUGGUUCAUCAGCCACGUAUUAGUCAUUCAAAAAUAUAUGUUUACGUAUAUAUGUCACAUUUUUGGAGAAAUAUUCCCACAAACUGCAGAUUAAGCUGACUCCAACUUAAUCUAACUAUUCACCACAACCAACAAAUACUGUAGCUUGCCAUUUUAUCUUGUAAUAUUAUAAGUGAAAAAAAUCAUUUAAUUUAAACUAGUAAAUAUACCAUUUUUUUUGCUAGUCAGAAUCCAAAUUAAGGACAUUAUGUGAGGGGUGUACUCACUUUUGUGAGAUAUUGUGUGCUCUCUCAUCUGUGCAACCCGAGCUCAGUUUGUACAGGAAGCAAGCAUACAGCCGUUAUACAGGAAGUGAUCUCCUAAAGUGGGUAUGAGAGCUAAGUCACUCAUUCAGCAGUCAUGUUAUUCAGAGCCUAAAUGGUAUAUUUAAAUAGUGUAUGUUUCUUUCUCUUCUUACAUUAUAUAACACAUCUAACACGUUUUAAUAUUUGCAUCUGUUCGUGCAUCCAUUUACUGGAUUCAAUCUCACUGUCCAAUUGUUGGGGAGAUUUCCAAGAGAGCCGAGGCCCAUAUCGGGAAUGUUCGUGUAGCUCAGCUCUUGGACUCCCGGUAGAGUGUAGGAUGCUUUUGGGCAGGUUCUCCGAUGGUGCCGCUUUUUCUGUGAGCUUUUUCUUCUUUUUCUCUCUCUCUUUUUCUGCUUUCUUGUUCCAUACCACUAUGUAUGAUUAAUGCAUUUUAGAUUAUACAGCAUAAUUAAACCGCAUACAUGAUACUUAACAAGCAAGGAUUUGUACAACAAAAUCAUUCAAUCUUUUCUUGUGCCCUUAUGGUGACCUUAGGGAAUAGCAAUUAUCAUGUUCAAUUAUUUCAAUAUUCUUGUACGAAUCCCUGAUUGGCCUCGAGUUCCUCAGUUAGUCAUUGCAGAGACUGCAAUACAAAGACAAAAAUCUUAUCACGUAGGAAAUAUUUUAAUUCCAUUGUGGUACAGCAAGAACUUAAUCAGAAAUAUAGCUAUUAUAUAUGGCCUUGCAACGUCAUGCUAAGUUCCUAUCUUCAUAAAUGUAUUGUUUCUUUCUUUUGCUAGUGGGAGAGAUCAACUUGAGGCAGAUCUGAGAGAAUUUACGAUCCGUCAUGCAGAGAUCACCCAUCUCAGAAUCCUUGUUCACGGAGCAGUUGGUGCUGGAAAAUCCAGCCUCAUCAACUCUGCUAUCAGUGUCUUUCAGCACCGUGUAACGGACAGAGCCGGAGAAGCAGCGAGUGCAAGCAAGAGUUAUACGAAACAAUACAAAAGCUACAGAAUCUGGGAUGAAAAUGACAGCACAUUACCAUUUAUCUUCAAUGAUAUCAUGGGGCUACAAGAUACGGGGACAUCUGGAAUCCACACUGAUAUCAUUAAUGCUAUGCUGGGCCAUGUGAGAGAGAACUAUACGUUUAAUCCUGAGUGUCCUUUACGAGAUGGUGAUCCAGGGUACAUUAACGCCCCCACUCUGAAUGAUAAAGUUCACUGUCUGGUGAGCGUUGUGUCAGCACAAACCCUCCCUGUCAUAUAUGAUUCUGUCAUCAAAAGCAUUAAGGAUGUCAGGGAACAGGCCAGUGACCUUGAUGUACGAAUGCCGCGACAGAGUGGGAAUCCCGAUGAACUGCAUCUUUCCUGUGAAAAACUACCAUGAAGAGUCAGACACCAAUAAUGACACUGACGUCCUGGUUCUGUUGGCCCUGAGGAAAAUCCUAAACUCUGCUAAUGAUUAUGUGAGAGCUGUAACUCUCGCCCCUCUUUCAGCUUGUAGACUGGUCCAAAUAAAAGUUGAACAAUACUAUAUGUUUAGUAAAUCAUGUAACCUUAGUAAUGCUUAGUUGAAUUUGAAAAAUGUGGUCGUCCUCACAUAUAAAUAAACAUGAUUUCCUGUUAAACCUGUUACAAAUUAAAAUAAAAUAUGCAUGUUUGUCCUCGAUAAGUGU